UAGUGGCGAACGGGUGAGUAACACGUGGGCAAUCUGCCCUGCACUCUGGGACAAGCCCUGGAAACGGGGUCUAAUACCGGAUAACACUGUCCCCCUCCUGGGGGACGGUUGAAAGCUCCGGCGGUGCAGGAUGAGCCCGCGGCCUAUCAGCUUGUUGGUGGGGUAAUGGCCUACCAAGGCGACGACGGGUAGCCGGCCUGAGAGGGCGACCGGCCACACUGGGACUGAGACACGGCCCAGACUCCUACGGGAGGCAGCAGUGGGGAAUAUUGCACAAUGGGCGAAAGCCUGAUGCAGCGACGCCGCGUGAGGGAUGACGGCCUUCGGGUUGUAAACCUCUUUCAGCAGGGAAGAAGCGAAAGUGACGGUACCUGCAGAAGAAGCGCCGGCUAACUACGUGCCAGCAGCCGGGGUAAUACGUAGGGCGCAAGCGUUGUCCGGAAUUAUUGGGCGUAAAGAGCUCGUAGGCGGUCUGUCACG
rnacentral:rRNA from 1 species